rnacentral:rRNA from 1 species
ACNUGCAGUCGAGCGGACAGAUGGGAGCUUGCUCCCUGAUGUCAGCGGCGGACGGGUGAGUAACACGUGGGUAACCUGCCUGUAAGACUGGGAUAACUCCGGGAAACCGGGGCUAAUACCGGAUGCUUGAUUGAACCGCAUGGUUCAAUUAUAAAAGGUGGCUUUUAGCUACCACUUACAGAUGGACCCGCGGCGCAUUACCUANUUGGUGAGGUAACGGCUCACCAAGGCAACGAUGCGUACCCAACCUGAAAGGGUGAUCGGCCACACUGGGACUGAAACACGGCCCAAACUCCUACGGGAGGCAGCAUUAGGGAAUCUUCCGCAAUGGACAAAAGUCUGACGGANCAACGCCNCGUGANUGAUGAAGGUUUUCNNAUCNUAAAACUCUGUUGUUAGGGAAAAACAAUUACCGUUCAAAUAGGGCGGUACCUUGACGGUACCUAACCAAAAANCCACGGCUAA